UGGGGAAUAUUGCACAAUGGGCGCAAGCCUGGUGCAGCCAUGCCGCGUGUGUGAAGAAGGCCUUCGAGUUGUAAAGCACUUUCAGCGAGGAGGAAGGUGGUGAGCUUAAUACGCUCAUCAAUUGACGUUACUCGCAGAAGAAGCACCGGCUAACUCCGUGCCAGCAGCCGCGGUAAUACGGAGGGUGCAAGCGUUAAUCGGAAUUACUGGGCGUAAAGCGCACGCAGGCGGUUUGUUAAGUCAGAUGUGAAAUCCCCGGGCUCAACCUGGGAACUGCAUUUGAAACUGGCAAGCUAGAGUCUCGUAGAGGGGGGUAGAAUUCCAGGUGUAGCGGUGAAAUGCGUAGAGAUCUGGAGGAAUACCGGUGGCGAAGGCGGCCCCCCUGGACGAAGACUGACGCUCAGGUGCGAAAGCGUGGGGCAGCAAACAGGAUUAGAUACCCUGGUAGUCACGCUGUAAACGAUGUCGAUUUGGAGGUUGUGCCCUUGAGGCGUGGCUUCCGGAGCUAACGCGUUAAAUCGACCGCCUGGGGAGUACGGCCGCAAGGUUAAAACUCAAAGG
rnacentral:rRNA from 1 species